UGUUGCUAGUAGAAUCGAAUGCCACUCAAUAUUGUACCUAACUGGUGACUUAAAGAGUAAGUAUGAAUCAAAAUGCGAAUUGAAUUAAAUCAUAGCUCCAUACUUUGAUAUUUGAAAUUAACAAUAUUUUCGAAUAAAUCAUAAUCUUUUUUCCUCAGAAGCAAGAAAUCACAGAUGAUAUCCUGGUUUCACCCUGAAAAAAUUUCUAUGGGUACAUUUGGACUUUGUUCCAGGUGUUUUGAUCUCAUAGACCUUUGAGGGGACAAAGAUAGACUUUGGACUUCAGAACUGAGGAACCAACAAAUCAGAAACUCCAAGCCUCAUUAGUUUUGAUAACACCCUCUACUUAAAGUGGAUUCAGGUGACAUUUCGUUUCUUAAAUCUUUUACUACUUAGCUUCACCUACCAAAGUAAUCAAAUGCAUGAAUGACUAGAACACCGUUGUUUAGUUAUUAAAAUACAAAAAGGCCAUAAG